GAGUAGAAUUGUCAACCGAUGCAGUUACUGU
rnacentral:piRNA from 1 species